rnacentral:rRNA from 1 species
CCCUUAGAUGUUCUGGGCCGCACGCGCGCUACACUGACGGAGGCAGCGAGCGUGUCCUUCGCCGGCAGGUGCGGGCAAUCUUGCGAGUCUCCGUCGUGCUGGGGAUAGAUGGUUGCAAUUGUCGAUCUUGAACGAGGAAUUCCUAGUAAGCGCGAGUCAUCAGCUCGCGCUGAUUACGUCCCUGCCCUUUGUACACACCGCCCGUCGCUACUACAGAGUGCCCGUGUCCAAGAAACGGUCGGACCUGUGCGGCCUCUCCGGGCGACCGGAGGGCCGUUACGGGGAAGUCCCUUUAUUUGACGCGGGUCGAUGAAGUAAAAGUCGUAACA